AUUGAACGCUGGCGGCAGGCCUAGCACAUGCAAGUCGAGCGGAUGAAGGGAGCUUGCUCCUGGAUUCAGCGGCGGACGGGUGAGUAAUGCCUAGGAAUCUGCCUGGUAGUGGGGGAUAACGUCCGGAAACGGGCGCUAAUACCGCAUACGUCCUGAGGGAGAAAGUGGGGGAUCUUCGGACCUCACGCUAUCAGAUGAGCCUAGGUCGGAUUAGCUAGUUGGUGGGGUAAGGGCCUACCAAGGCGACGAUCCGUAACUGGUCUGAGAGGAUGAUCAGUCACACUGGAACUGAGACACGGUCCAGACUCCUACGGGAGGCAGCAGUGGGGAAUAUUGGACAAUGGGCGAAAGCCUGAUCCAGCCAUGCCGCGUGUGUGAAGAAGGUCUUCGGAUUGUAAAGCACUUUAAGUUGGGAGGAAGGGCAGUAAGUUAAUACCUUGCUGUUUUGACGUUACCAACAGAAUAAGCACCGGCUAACUUCGUG
rnacentral:rRNA from 1 species